rnacentral:sRNA from 1 species
AAUGUUUCGGUAGGUGAGGUUACCACAGGGAUCGGGUUUAUCCUAAGAUUGCUACCGCAAAUUUGUGGAGACACAAAUCGUUGGUCAGCAGGAGAUGUCGGACUAAGGCAUAUCCUAAUGCAGUUGAUAUGCCCUGUGAUACUAAAGCUUGAACGACGGGA